rnacentral:tRNA from 1 species
UGCCGGGUAGCAUAAUAGUAAUGCGACGCCCUGUUAAGGCGGUGGAUGCAAGUGCGACUCUUGCCCCGGCAGCCA